CCUACGGGAGGCAGCAGUGAGGAAUAUUGGUCAAUGGCCGAAAGGCUGAACCAGCCAAGUCGCGUGAGGGAAGAAUGUCCUAUGGAUUGUAAACCUCUUUUGUCAGGUAGCAAAGUCACCCACGUGUGGGUGUUGGAGAGUACCUGAAGAAAAAGCAUCGGCUAACUCCGUGCCAGCAGCCGCGGUAAUACGUAGGGAGCAAGCGUUAUCCGGAUUUAUUGGGUGUAAAGGGUGCGUAGACGGAGAAGCAAGUUAGUUGUGAAAUCCCUCGGCUUAACUGAGGAACUGCAACUAAAACUACUUCC
rnacentral:rRNA from 1 species